UAUCUUUCAGAGCAUAGUCGUGUGGGUUCAUCUAUGUGAGGGUGCCAAAUCCAGAAAACCCUCAACAAAAUCAAAAUCACCAUCCGCUGCGGCUUCGUCGAAGAGACAAUCGGAUGCUCACCGAGAUCCGUCCCAACGCUGACCCCCCCGACUCAGAUGAGCUGACCCAGACGGAGUUCAACCCCAACACCACAUAGUCUCGCAUUGUGCUCAUAACUGGGUCUCAGUGUGGGUAUUUUUGUGUUGAAAGUAAUUAAGAACAAAAGUGAUUAUUUCAGACUUCAUUGCCUUGUUCUGAGAUACUCAUUCCCGUCUGUUGGUGGAUUUCAGCGAGCAAGUCAAUCUUCAAGUUGGGAACAGACAUAUUGGGAGAACCUACUGAUAACUCAAAAAUGCCCCUUUUCUGUGAAUGUUCUGCUGCCCAUUGCUGAGAUUCUGUAGCCAUCAUAUCAAACAGUUCAAAUGCCUCUCUUGCAGAUUUAUUUGACAAUGAUCCUCCUGCUUAUGCAUUCACAUGGCUCUUAGAUGUAGGAUUAAGCCCAUCAAAGAAAAUAUUCAUUUGUGUAUCUGAAUCAAUUUUAACAUGUGGACACUUUAUGUACAUCUCUGUAUAUCUCUCCCACGCUUCAUGAAACUCUUCAUUAGGCUUCGUGUAAAUGUCAAAAUCUCCCUCUUGAAAUUCAAUGUCUUGGAUGCUGGAUAAUAUUUGUUCAGGAA